AGUGAACGUUGGCGGCGUGGAUUAGGCAUGCGAGUCGAGCGAGAACCGUAGCAAUACGGGGACAGCGGCGAAAGGGACAGUAAUAUGUAGGUACCUACCCUCGGGUCCGGGAUAGCCGCCGGAAACUGCAGGUAAUACCGCAUGACAUCUCCGGAUCCAAGGUGUGAUUCCGCCCGGGGAGGGGCCUGUAACCUAUUCGCUUGCUGGUGGGGUAACGGCCUACCAAGGCGACGAUGGGUAGCGGGUGUGAGAGCAUGACCUACGUCAUUGGGACUGAGACACUGCCCAGACACCUACGGGUGGCUGCAGUCGAGAAUCUUCGGCAAUGGGGGCAACCCUGACCGAGCGACGCCGCGUGCGGGAUGAAGGCCUACGGGUUGUAAACCGCUGUCGUAGAGGAGGAAAUGCAGGGGGGUUCUCCCCUCUGUUUGACCUAUUCUAGGAGGAAGGACGGGCUAAGUGCGUGCCAGCAGCCGCCGUAA
rnacentral:rRNA from 1 species